GAUUCUUCAAAUUAACUCCCAUUUUCUCUCCUUUAUAUUGCAUUCAAUGAGCCUCGAAGACUAAUCUAAAAGUCACGAGAAGCUCGUUUCAGUUCCCAUUUUCUUGUUCAGAUCCAAUCCUGUAUCUGAUAUUUCUUUCCCCUCUCCACCGCACUCUCGAUCACCGGAAUUCAAGAACAGCGCUCACCUUUUUCAAAUAGUUGAGAAGCAGGAACUUGGUCAGAAGAGAACUAAGGCAAGAAUGCCACAAGAAAACAACUCAAAUCCACUGUUCAACAGUCCCAGCAAGAGCCUGAGGGGAUUGAAGGGAUUGGUCUGCAACAAUAAUGAAGCUUCUUAUGUUGAAGAGAUCAUCGAUGAUCGCGAAUUAGCACAGAGAAAAGCCGACGAAGCAGGUAAUAAUCUAACAAACUCCAUAAUAAAAAU